rnacentral:sRNA from 1 species
UCCAAUUCUGCAAAAACAGUUGAUGUCAAUACAAUGUUAAACCAGCCGCUAGGAUUAUAAAAAAUUAGUCCAAAAUUCCAUUACCACUAAAACAAAAAACACCACAACUACUUCAAACACAAACUCGUUAUCCAUAAUUUAUCCAACAAACACAAAAUCAGCAUUUUAAGAGCAAGCCAGCAACCAAUCAGUCGUCAUCGUCUUCCCAUUAUCAUCAACAGAAAGUGCCUAAGCAUUCUAGUGGACGCUCGACUCCAUCCCCAGCUGAUAACUGUCGCAAGAAGAAGUAUGGACACACUAACAAUUGCGCCCUAAGAAGAAGUUGAAGACAAGAAGUAAAAAAAGAUACAAAAUAUGUUUGGUUAAAUUAACAAAACAAUGUCUUCGCUCAUGUUUAAAGAGUGACAUAAAAAAUUAAAAAAAAACA